CUACGUCAUAGGUAACAAGUAGCCCAUUGUGACAAGGAGGUUUGACUCUGCCUGGAGUUGCACAGGGUAGCAGUGAUCUUACUGAUCCAAUUGCAGAAGAAAAUACAAGGCAAGUAUGUUGGGGAGAAACUAUAUAAUGCUACAAGAAGGAAUUGGCUUUCAUCUAUUGUGGAGCUAUGUCAUAUUGAUACUGCUUCAUAGCGUCAAUUCAAGUUUUACAUCACCAACUCCUGCUUCAGAAAAAAAUGAAGUGGCAGGCAGCAACUUUGUCACGAAAGUGAAAGGUGCAUCUAACGCGUUUUUAAACCUCUUCAGGCCAGUGACUUGCCGAUACAAAGAAAGGCACACCUUAGUCCCUUGUCGUGCAGGAGGGAACAUUAAUGCAACAAAGUGCUUGGAAAAUAGAUGUUGUCCUUCCAAAGGCAGGCAUCAACUGGAAUGUUAUGUCCCAUUUAAAGACAAUCUGCAGCUGGCACUUCGACUGUUUCUGGUUGGGGCACUUGGAUGUAUAAUUUUGGGUUGUGUACCAUUAUUUUGCUGUGCCUGGCUUCAGAAGAGUCCAUGUAUCAAUCCUUUACGAAGUGCAAACAUAACAAUAGAACAAAUUGUGAAGAACAAGAGAGCAAAUAGUGAAGAAAUGCGUAGCUUGUUAUCAAAUUGACCUAAAGGCUUUGAGGAGCAUAAACACAAAAGAAAGAUCCAGGUGAAGCAGAUGAACCUGAUUAUUAGGCCACUGACCCUGAGUGAAAGGAAGUUAGAGAACAAGAGAUGAGAGCAGAAGCAGCCUGGGAUAUUCAGAGUUAACGAGGACAGCAAAUAAGAUGAGCAUACGUCCUCACAAGCUGGGAGAUCUUUUCAAACCAGACUUCUGGCCUGGCUGCACAAGUGUCACUGGUGCCUUGCCUUUGCAGAUCAUGGUGUCCACAUCUGUUACCCUCAAAAUAAAGAUGUUUUUCCUCAUGUUCAUGUGGAACUUCCAGUGUUUCACGUUGUGCCCACUGCUCUUUGUUCUGUCACCACUGAAAAGAGCCUGGUCUCAUCCACUUCACUCACUCAAUAUCUACAUGCAUUAUAUGGUCCCGUCAGUCUUCCCUUCUCCAGGCUGAACUUUGUAGGUUUGAUUAAUUCUAUAUAGGAAUGCAUAAUUGGACACAGAUUCAAUUCUGAUUUGUGAGUGAGAUCAGCAGUUAUGCAUACAGGGCUACUCUUCCUUUUUUUUCCCCCCUUCCACUACUCAGCUCAUAUUAUAGAACUCCUUUAGCUUAUGCCACAACACACACAAUAGGACACUAUGCCUUAGUCUGCAAUUUCUAAGUGAGAAUAAUGAGCUCCUUUAUCUUGCAGGGAAACUGUGAAAAUAAGUCAAAUAAUGUAUUGCAAAUGGUCUGAUACUGCUCUGACAAACACAAAGAAAUAAUGCAGUUUUAGAAGUUGGUCUAAAUAAUAUGCAAAAAAAUAAGGCUCUACACUGGUAAUGAACAGUGACAGAAGGAAAAAUUAUUGAAUCGUUGCUCAUUUAGUGAACGUGAUUCCUGCUGUGCACUGGAUGAAAUUGGUCCCGUGGGGAAAAUAGAAAGACUACAAUAAUUCUUACAAAAGGAGGAAUGAGUUAUGGUCACAGAAGCAAGCUGAAAUUUAGCAUUUUCUCACUUUUGAGUGAUGUGUGACCACUGAAAGAUAUUUCAGAAAAAUUGUGUAAGGAUAUUUUAUUAAGGUGAUGGUACAUCUUUUGAAUAGCGAGUGGAAUAUGUUACCAUUCUGUUUUGGAACACUGACCUAAUACCUACUGGAGGUGUCAGUAGAGAGAACUGCCUGAAGUCUCUUCAACUUAUAGAAGCAAACCAGGCAGCUUGCUUUCAUCUUCUGUGUGGGGGAAUGUGAGCAUUCUCAUGAGGAAUGGGAGCUCCUAACCUGGUAGAAGAGGGAGCCUAUGAUGUGGAAGUCACUGUAGCCAGGUGGGUAGUUGGUGGUAUCCCUAUUGUGGAAUAAAGCA